rnacentral:rRNA from 1 species
GACGAACGCUGGCGGCGUGCUUAACACAUGCAAGUCGAACGGAAAGGCCCUGCUUUUGUGGGGUGCUUGAGUGGCGAACGGGUGAGUAACACGUGAGUAACCUGCCCUUGACUUUGGGAUAACUUCAGGAAACUGGGGCUAAUACCGGAUAGGAGCUCCUGCUGCAUGGUGGGGGUUGGAAAGUUUCGGCGGUUGGGGAUGGACUCGCGGCUUAUCAGCUUGUUGGUGGGGUAGUGGCUUACCAAGGCUUUGACGGGUAGCCGGCCUGAGAGGGUGACCGGCCACAUGGGGACUGAGAUACGGCCCAGACUCCUACGGGAGGCAGCAGUGGGGAAUAUUGCACAAUGGGCGGAAGCCUGAUGCAGCAACGCCGCGUGCGGGAUGACGGCCUUCGGGUUGUAAACCGCUUUCGCCUGUGACGAAGCGUGAGUGACGGUAAUGGGUAAAGAAGCACCGGCUAACUACGUG